rnacentral:rRNA from 1 species
UCGACCGGCGCACGGGUGAGUAACGCGUAUCCAACCUGCCUCUGACUAAGGGAUAACCCGGCGAAAGUCGGACUAAUACCUUAUGAGGUUUUCAGCAGACAUCUAAAGAAAACGAAAGAUUAUCGGUCAGUGAUGGGGAUGCGUCUGAUUAGCUUGUUGGCGGGGUAACGGCCCACCAAGGCAACGAUCAGUAGGGGUUCUGAGAGGAAGGUCCCCCACAUUGGAACUGAGACACGGUCCAA